rnacentral:rRNA from 1 species
GAACGCUGGCGGCGUGCUUAACACAUGCAAGUCGACCGAAGCAUUUGCGACAGAUUUUUUCGGAAUGAAGUUGCUUAUGACUGAGUGGCGGACGGGUGAGUAACGCGUGGGUAACCUGCCUUGUACUGGGGGAUAGCAGCUGGAAACGGCUGGUAAUACCGCAUAAGAGCACAAUGUUGCAUGACAUGGUGUGAAAAACUCCGGUGGUAUAAGAUGGACCCGCGUCUGAUUAGCUAGUUGGUGAGAUAACAGCCCACCAAGGCGACGAUCAGUAGCCGACCUGAGAGGGUGACCGGCCACAUUGGGACUGAGACACGGCCCAGACUCCUACGGGAGGCAGCAGUGGGGAAUAUUGCACAAUGGAGGAAACUCUGAUGCAGCGACGCCGCGUGAGUGAAGAAGUAAUUCGUUAUGUAAAGCUCUAUCAGCAGGGAAGAUAGUGACGGUACCUGACUAAGAAGCUCCGGCUAAAUACGUG